ensembl:lncRNA AFG3L1P AFG3 like matrix AAA peptidase subunit 1, pseudogene
AUUUAACUUGAAAAAAUUUUAAAAAAUUUUAUAGAGGUGGGGUCUUGCUAUGUAGCCCAGGCUGGUCUCAAUCUCCUGAGUUCAAGUGAUUCUCCUACCUUGGCCUCCAAAGUUCUAGGAUUCCAGGUGUGGUCACUGUGUCCUGCCACCAGAGCCUCCUGAGGGCUGUCCUGGUGUGAUUAGAGGGCUCUGAGCAGGGCCAGCUGUGCCAUCUGUGCUUUUCCUUUGUCCUGUUACCUACCCUUGCACUGGGCCGUUAGGGCACUGAGAUCAUCCCUCUCCAUCCUGUCAUGCUGUGCUGUCAUCUUUAGUCAAGCCAGAGGAUAUGGUGCUUCGCUGUGUUUCACACACAGCUGUUCCCAUUGGCUUCAAAUGGGCCUGUUUAGUUAAGGCUUUGUGUGAAGUAUGUGGGAAGUGGGUUUCACUUUCAAGAAGGCAGCAUGGAGCUGGGGCUUGGCCUCUGCUGUCUGGUAUAGAGGAGCCUGGGGAUCAGGUGUAGCUGCAGACACAGCUGGGCGCAGAGGGAGUGGCCUCAUUUCCCAGCCACCUACUCCUGCCGUGCCUCACUCGCCGGGGAAUGUGAUGUGUAGGUCUUGAGAAGAAGGCCCAGGUCCUGCAGCCCGGUGAAAAGACAACUGUGGCCUACCACGAGGCCGGACACGUGGUGGUAGGCUGGUUCUUGGAGCACGUGGACCCCCUGCUGAAGGUUGGUCCUCCCACCCUGAGUGAGUCCACCUGGCAGGCUUGGGCCUGGUAUCUCUGGGCCAACCUGUGGUCAUGUGGGCAUGGUACAUUCAAGGAUUGGCCCUUUAGCUUUUUAAGGAAUAAACUGCUCUAGAAUUUGUCAAAAGAUCCCUUCGGGGUGGGAAAGCAGGGCAGUGGGUUCCAAAUGGGGCCUUGGCCAUGCGACUCCAGGGAGCAGCCUCAGUGUUAAACCCGCCUGACUCCUGAGCUCUGGAUUCGACCGUUGGCCUCUCCAGAGACUCUGCAGGGUGGGCAGAGCGUAGGUGGUUUCCACGUGAAGCUCCCAAAGGCGGGUGCACUUCUUGGGGCAUCCCCAUGGUGUAUGGGGGGCCUGGGUCAGGCUGUCUUCUCUCCUGUUCCAGUAGAAGGACCUGUGGUCAGAGCUAGGGUCAGGUGGCCUGGCCGCUCCAGGGUGGCUCCUGGAGGAAGUGGGGACAGUGUUUGGGGUGAUGAGGGCAUGUGUCCUGUCCUCAGGUGUCCAUCAUACCCCAGGGCAAGGGGCUCCGCUACGCACAGUACCUGCCCCGGGAGCAGCAGCUCUACACCCAGGAGCAGCUCUUCGACCGCACGUGCAUGAUGCUCGGGGGCCGGGUAGCCGAGCAGCUGUGCUCCGGGUAGAUCACUAUGGGGGCUCAGGACGACCUGAGGAAGGUCACCCAGAGUGCCUACGCCCAGGUUGUGCAGUUUGGGGUGAGUGAGAAGCUGGGCCAGGUGUCCUUCGACUUUUCCCGACACGGCAAGACCCUGGUGGAGAAGCUGUACGGCGAGGCAAGCGCCCAGCUCCUUGAUGACGAGGUCCGGCACCUCGUCAGUGCCACCUACAGGUGCACCCUGGACCUGCUGACACGGUGCCGGGAGCAUGUGGAGAAGGUGGGCCAGCGGCUCCUGGAGAAGGAAGUACUGGAGAAGGCAGACAUGGUGGAGCUGCUGGGCCCCCGGCCCUUCUCGGAGAAGUCUACCUAUGAGGAGUUUGUAGAGGGCGUGGGCAGCCUGGAGGAGGACACAUCCCUUCCCGAGGGGCUGAAGGGUUGGAACCGCGGACAGGAGGAGGAAGAUGUGGAGAGCAGCCUGUGCAGGGGGCUCUGUGUAGCCUGUGGCGGUCGCCUGCACCUGCUGCUGGGUGGAGUUGGGGUGACUGCCACUUACCUGGGGCCUUGGCAAAGCAGCUGCGGAAUCUCACCCAAAACAAAUUAAAACGUGACAACUGUGAAUGGGUGUUUUAGAUGAGGGUGCUCUGAGCCCACAUGCAGGGAGUAGGAGUGGGAGUGGGCAGAGGGGGUACCCUGAGUCCCUGGGCCCUCCCGCUGGAGGACAGUCGGGUCCAGGCUUAGACGGGAGAGGCCCCAGGGCUCUGGCCCCUGUGGUGCUGAGGAAGGCACGACUGUAGCUUCGAGAGGGGCUUGCGUGGGACACCUUGGAGACACCAGGCCUUCCUGGGGCCUCCGUGGAGGAGCGUUGAUAUGGUCAUAAAGACACUCGGAGGAGCCUGGGUCCAGCACAGAAACCCUCACCGUUUGGUAGAAUUCAGAAGAGGAGAACGUCAGCCAGGCAUCAAGGGGAAGUCAGGGUUCUAAAGCAGCUGUUUGGAUCGGUAGAAGCCGAUCUGCUGUUCUGUCCUUAGAAAGGAAAAAGCCCACACCACCCACAGGUGCAUGGCUGAGGGAGGAGGUGGAGCUGUGGGGCCUCACACCUGGGUUCCCCAUCAGGGCACCCCCCGCCACCCCUGCCUGCGCCUUGGCUCUGUGGCAGCACUGCUGAGUGUGAGGGAAUUGAGUUGCUUAGAAAACCUGGCCCCUGUCCUUGGCUGGAGGUGCUUUCACUGCGGGAUGUGUCUGGAUCGUCAGUUCUGUUCCUGUGACCCCUUUUUGUUGGAGUCUUGGAGCGGGAAGCUCUGCAGGGCCCCAGCCGGCUCAGGGGUGUUUGUGGAGAGACUGUGGUCCUGAAGCCCCAGCACGUGGCUGCCCCUGGCCCUGGUACCUGUUCGUGAACACUUUUCCUGGGGUUGGGUAGCUCCUAAUUUUUAUUAGGAAGGCCCCUUCUGGGCUCUGAGCUUCAGGCCCUUUGGCGCCUUGUACUGAGGGAGGGUUUGCUUUUUCUUGUCUGGGGUGUGUGGGACUCGAUGAGGAUGCCCCGUGUGCUUUCUGCAGCACACGACCUGCCUCCAGGACUCGCUGGGGUCAGCAACAGCAGGGCAGUGUCAGCCUCAACCACUGCCUUGGGGUGGGUGGAUGCGUGUCUAGGUCACCUGGGAUGAGACCUGGGGAAGACGCCCAUUUGCAUAUGUCCUGGGUGAGCGGCCGGAGGAGGAGGCCCUGCUUGUGGGUCAGCUGGGAUGGGACCUGGGAAGAUGCCCGUUUGCAGAUGUCCUGGGUGAACAGCGGGAGGAGGAGGCCCUGCUUGCUGCCCCGGGCACUGUUUGUUCUCAGCCUCUCUCUCGACCUAGGCCAGAUCAGACACUGGGGCUUUGUAGUAUAUUUUAUAAAUCGCUUGUUAUGUUGGCCUCGGAGCCUCAAAAAUAUAAUUUCCAACUGGGGGUGAACACUUUCAACUUUUGCUGUUUAUAAAAUGCAUAUCAUUGGACUC